rnacentral:lncRNA from 1 species
UAAAUCUUGAGACUGUUUUGCUUUUCUGUUGCCUUUAGCAAAACCAUAUUCCUGCUGCUGUCAGUUAUGAUGCACUGAGAAAACUUCAGAGACCUAAGCUUUUUCCAGAGAAGAGAAGCUUUACUGGUGUUCCAGCCCUAAGCAACCAUCUUUCCUGUGAAAAAUUCCCUCUCCUAGUACUUUAGUUCUGUGGAUCCAAAAUUUAUAGCAUUCUUCUACCACCACAGGGGCUCAUAUGACAUUAACAGACAAGACACUUUUCAGAAAGACAGGUAAGUCAUUUGUUAAAAUCUCACUACUGUUGUUUAACAGAAACAUAUAUAUGCAUGUAUAUGUGUGUACUGUAUGGAAAAAGUGGAAUUAGAGUUUAUCUAGAAAAGAAAAAAUUACCUCAUCUAAGUGCAGAAAUGAAUAAUACUUAAA